CGACACGUGAACACGGAGCGCAGGCGCGGCAACGGGGGCGAAGCUGGAACCCCGAGUGCAGACGUCGUUGGAGGAAAGCAGAAAGCUUUAAAUCUAAGAAGAGGUGAAAAAUGCUACAGCCACAAAGGGAACAUCUGUUUGAGGGACAACGCAAAGAUAGAGAAGCCAGAUUUUGAUGACAUCAGUUGAACAACUUGAUCAAGCGGUACCUGAAGCAAGCCUACUGCUGCAGUUUUCAAUGGCAAAAGCCAAUAAAUUCUCCUCAUGCCUUCCUCAAUCACUGUG